rnacentral:lncRNA from 1 species
UUGGCAGAUUAUGUGGACAGCCNGACUGGAGACUGAGAUCAGCAGAUAGGCUGACACUGCCUUCUCUUCUUUCUCAUACAACUUGGCAUGGAUUGUUCCCACCCUUCGGUUGGCAUAAUUUUUGUCUUUUCAACAGCUGCUUAAUAGGCAUAGAAUUCAGCAGGUGAAGAUUUUCAGCAUUGGGUCUUCCUGCUGGGAAGAGUACCUCCUGCUUAAUUUCUAACAUGCAGCUGUUAAAGACGACAUAUUUGGUUCUGGAUUGUUUGGUUUUUCGUUCCUCCAUCCCAUAAAUCUAACUGCCUCUUCAGAAGCACUCUUGGCUAGAAUCCCAGUGGAGAACUUGGGUACAGGCAAAAUUUUCAAAAUUUUCAACAGCUCCUCUAUUAAGUCUUGAAAGAAAAACUACAUUUGGAAUUGUAUGCAGAACUCCUGCUGAAAC